rnacentral:sRNA from 1 species
GCUCCUGGCUCUUUCUGCUGCCUACUUCUCCCCCUUGGCUCUUUCUUGCCGCUGUCUUUCAGCCGCACCACACCCCUGAUCUUAACUAUCCAGAGUGAAGGUAUGGAGUGCCUAACGAUACACACACUCACAGCAUUCGUUCUCAUGUUGACCUGGUCUGGCUCAGCAUCUGGACAUCUGUGUUUGAUCUCUCCUCGACAACGUGGGGAUAUGGAUGUGUCCGAGCCUGGCAGUCCAACAUGUUUCCGGCACGGAGCAGAAUGUGGAGGCAUACCUGGUCAAUUCCCACCCAAUAUCACUUUAGACGGAGGGCGUCCAAUAUGUGAAAUGGCAGCAAAAUUUCAACCACUACAGUAUAGGCUACCCAGGAUACAUGGAUAUCGCUUUUGCUGUGGCGAACUCUGAUGCUGAUGUACCACCAGACCCGUUUAUCAUUCUGGCAAUGGUACAUGACGAAGAUGAAUAUGACCAAGCUCACCAACGGAACUACACCGCAGUGGUGACUCUGCCAAAUCAGGACUGUGACCAUUGCGUCAUCAGAGCCCGAUAUGUGGCGCACAAACCAGGGGAGACAACUUUCUACCAAUGUGCAGACAUACAGGUGCGUAAGACAUCCGAAGUGCAAAGGACAGACAACUCGGGCGAUUUACAGCUUCUAGAUGCUGAUACAGAAACAGGAAGUCAAGCCAGUGGUGCAUUGGAAACCUACUCAUCUGGCCCAGGAGGCUCAGAAGAGAUGCAACUAGCUCCAAGAUCAAAACCCAAAGAGAUUUUCACCUCUCUUCAAGAAUUUUUAAUUACAAAGAAAUCAAAUAGUUUAGUGAAUUAUCGAAUUUCUUCUGCCGAUUCAAGUGACGAAGGGAAAGAGAGACUCCGAAAGGCAUUAUCAUUCAUUGGGACGUCUUCCAGAGAUGGACAUUAUUUCGGCUCGACUGCGAGGCCGUUGAUGUAUCGUAAGAUGCCACAACCUCUACCCAAGUACGACACCACCAUGUCACGAUCACAAAACACAGAUCCCGCCCCAAAACUGUUUGGUAUGGCCAAUCAGAUGAGUGGCGGCGCUGUCUACUACUCAGUGGACUCCUUGACCGGGGAAAGGACGGAGAUCGCGACCCUUGACUUCAGCAUCGAUACGCCGUUUGAUAAAGGGAUUCUGGGCGCCAAAAAUGACACAACCUCUUUCGUGACGGAUGGAGUGUUGUCCCUUGACCCAGCCCGCGGGGUUACACUUCUGCCAUUGAACUCCCAUGGAGACAUGGACGAUGUGGCUAAUCAGAUCAUUGAGAUGAGCACGCUAGAAGGCAUCAGCAAAGCUGAGUACAACGUUACUCCCCCCAACGCAGCAAAAAUGGUAACACCGUUCAGUGCUAUCGUGGUGGAGAUAGAGAGCUCCUAUGUGACUUUAGGCAUUGUGCCGGCUCAUGAAAAAGGCACCUACUUCUUUGAGAUAGGACGACUUUAUACCGGAGGAAAAUGGCAGCAACUCUAUAGAACCGACCAGUCGGAGGAUACUUAUGUGAACUUCUUGUGGGCAGACUAUGACAUCGCAGUGAAGACUCUGUAUGUGUUGCUUGGCAACGAAAAUGACCCUUACAAUAUGAGUGCCAGAAUCUACAGCUUCCUUGUUCCCCCAGGACCUAGCAGCUUGGACUUUUCCUCUCACAUUGAGGUGGACACGAGUCUCUUCCCCUUUAUGUCAUUUCAGUUCAGCAGGAUGAACACGUGGGAACUCUACGCCGUGUCGCCUGGUCGCCAUGACGCCAAGUACCCAGCUUACCAUCUUGUGGUCAUCAACCUCGACACUGGGAAGGUCAAGGAUGCCAUGCAACUCACUCCACCUGGAAUCUUCGAGCGCUUCUACGGAGGGGGCGUCUUUAACGGCUACAACGAACUGUCACACCAACUCGUGCACGUACUGCGAGUCGCGGACACACACGCUGACGUCAUCAUGAGUGUGGACACGAUGAGACUGUCGGUGACCUUCUCGCAACUGACCAACCUACGCCACGUGCACAACUUGAUCUGUGCCUGGAAUGUGGUUUGAACAUCCAACACCCUCCCCCCAUCCUUCCCCACUUUCCCCGGAAAUAAUGAUGUCAUAAUGUCACAAAUGUUUGAAUAAUAAUGCGCCAUCAUAUUUAUCAAAUCUGUUAAGACUGUACAUUUCAACUCGCAGU